UGGCACCUUUCCGGUAGAGGAGCCGAAAUGGCAGCGGUUUGCCGAACGAACUUCUCCGUUGGACAAACUUUUGGAUUUUUGAUGUUUAUCAACUGGAAUAUUUGAAUUUUAAGGUGACAGAACGAACUGUAACGUGUCAGAACGCGUUUAGAACCGGUACCGGCGGAGUUAUCGACCGAAAUGAGGAAAUAUUCGGAGAAACUACACGGACAAAUAUUCGGAGACUUAGACCGGAAUAAACUGGAAUAAACCGGAUUUUACUUCACUUCGACCGCCUGAACUCCUGCUGAUCGCAUGCCCAGAAGGGAAAGGAUCAAGAGAGACAAAGAAAGGGAUCUACAGCAGGGAAGCAGCUCUCUGCUCUCCUGGAUUAAAUAAACAUCUAAGGAGGAUGACGAGACAGAUCAUGAAGAAGAAAGGAAAUUCUACAGGAUAAGAUGGUUUCCUCUUCUCAGCUUUUAGCUCUGCUGCAGCACUGAGGAAAGCUGAAGCUUUACUGUCUAUAAACACUGCACAAAAUGUAGGUUUUUAACAGUUUCAGCUGCAUUUUGUAGUGUUAUUUUACAAUGUUCCCUGUUUUGAUCAUUUAGAUCUAAAAAUCGUAAAAUGACAGCAAAGAAUGCAACAUUUCACUAUGAAAUCACACUAUUUUACUGGAUUUAAAUCAGCAAACGAAACGUCAUCAUUUUACAGAU